CAGCAGCCGCGGUAAUACGGAGGGGGCUAGCGUUGUUCGGAAUUACUGGGCGUAAAGCGCACGUAGGCGGCUUGGUAAGUCUGUUGUGAAAGCCCCGGGCUCAACCUGGGAAUGGCAAUGGAUACUGGCGAGCUAGAGUGUGUCAGAGGAUGGUGGAAUUCCCGGUGUGGCGGUGAAAUGCGUAGAGAUCGGGAGGAACAUCAGUGGCGAAGGCGGCCAUCUGGGACAACACUGACGCUGAGGCACGAAAGCGUGGGGAGCAAACAGGAUUAGAUACCCCAGUAGUCCCUGUCUCUUAUAA
rnacentral:rRNA from 1 species